rnacentral:rRNA from 1 species
AGUCGAGCGAACAGACGAGGGAAGCUUGCUCCUCUGACGUUAGCGGCGGACGGGUGAGUAACACGUGGGUAACCUACCUAUAAGACUGGGAUAACUCCGGGAAACCGGGGCUAAUACCGGAUAACACAUGAAACCGCAUGGUUUCAUGAUGAAAGACGGUUUUGCUGUCACUUAUAGAUGGACCCGCGGCGUAUUAGCUAGUUGGUAAGGUAACGGCUUACCAAGGCAACGAUACGUAGCCGACCUGAGAGGGUGAUCGGCCACACUGGAACUGAGACACGGUCCAGACUCCUACGGGAGGCAGCAGUAGGGAAUCUUCCGCAAUGGGCGAAAGCCUGACGGAGCAACGCCGCGUGAGUGAUGAAGGUCUUCGGAUCGUAAAACUCUGUUAUUAGGGAAGAACAAGGAUGUAAGUAACUGUGCAUCCCUUGACGGUACCUAAUCAGAAAGCCACGGCUAACUACGUGCCAGCAGCCGCGGUAAUACGUAGGUGGCAAGCGUUAUCCGGAAUUAUUGGGCGUAAAGCGCGCGUAGGCGGUUUUUUAAGUCUGAUGUGAAAGCCCACGGCUCAACCGUGGAGGGUCAUUGGAAACUGGAAAACUUGAGUGCAGAAGAGGAAAGUGGAAUUCCAUGUGUAGCGGUGAAAUGCGCAGAGAUAUGGAGGAACACCAGUGGCGAAGGCGACUUUCUGGUCUGCAACUGACGCUGAUGUGCGAAAGCGUGGGGAUCAAACAGGAUUAGAUACCCUGGUAGUCCACGCCGUAAACGAUGAGUGCUAAGUGUUAGGGGGUUUCCGCCCCUUAGUGCUGCAGCUAACGCAUUAAGCACUCCGCCUGGGGAGUACGGCCGCAAGGCUGAAACUCAAAGGAAUUGACGGGGACCCGCACAAGCGGUGGAG